rnacentral:lncRNA from 1 species
GCCUUAGAAGCUGUUGGAAAUCCGCGCUUGAGAUGGCCUGACAGGGUCCUAUUAACACCUAUGAGCAAGGCUACUGGAAAUCUGCGGUGCAAGAGAAGAAGCGACCCGAUCCGGGAGAAUGUGGAUCAGUGACAACCCUGAGUCACAUGCUGACGAUGGAGGAGGACAGAACAUAGGUCGGCCGUGACGCUGCAGAGCUAUGGAAGCCUUGGCCUGCUGCAUUGGCUGAGCACAUCAGUAAUAAACCCGAGUCCAAUAA